UUUGAGCCCCACUUGAGUAUCUUAAAAGGUAAAAAAUAGUAUUGUAAUAAAUUCUAUUUAAGUAAAUUAAAUUGCCAUUUAAAAAAAUCUAAAAACAAUAGAAAGAAGCUAUUUGGAAUUUGACUUAUCUAUUCUUAAAAACUUCUAUUAAGAACCGUUUUUUACUUUUUCUUACUUCAUUUAAUUUUUUAAUAUUUAUAAUUAUAAUCUUUAGAUAUUUUGUGAAAGCUUCUCACUGGAGCUGCUUUAAUGUUCUUGUUAACCAUGAAGUUUUGAUAUUGGUCCAUAACCGCUAGCAAAAAUAAAUUUCUAUUAAAACUCCAAUGUGAUAAAGUGGAACAUGCAUGGAAAGGUGGAG
rnacentral:lncRNA from 1 species